AGAGUUUGAUCCUGGCUCAGGAUGAACGCUAGCUACAGGCUUAACACAUGCAAGUCGAGGGGCAGCAUGGCCUAUCUUUCGGGAUGGGCCGAUGGCGACCGGCGCACGGGUGAGUAACGCGUAUCCAACCUUCCCUUUACUGGGGUCCAGCCCGUCGAAAGGCGGAUUAAUCCCCCAUGUUCUCCGUCCCGGACAUCUGUGUCGGAGCAAAGAUUUAUCGGUAAAGGAUGGGGAUGCGUCCGAUUAGCUUGUUGGCGGAGUAACGGCCCACCAAGGCGACGAUGCGUAGGGGUUCUGAGAGGAAGGUCCCCCACACUGGUACUGAGACACGGACCAGACUCCUACGGGAGGCAGCAGUGAGGAAUAUUGGUCAAUGGGCGCGAGCCUGAACCAGCCAAGUCGCGUGAGGGAAGACGGUCCUAUGGAUUGUAAACCUCUUUUGUCGGGGAGCAAAAGACGCCACGUGUGGCGUUCCGAGAGUACCCGAAGAAAAAGCAUCGGCUAACUCCGUGCCAGCAGCCGCGGUAAUACGGAGGAUGCGAGCGUUAUCCGGAUUUAUUGGGUUUAAAGGGUGCGCAGGCGGAAGAUCAAGUCAGCGGUAAAAUUGAGAGGCUCAACCUCUUCGAGCCGUUGAAACUGGUUUUCUUGAGUGAGCGAGAAGUAUGCGGAAUGCGUGGUGUAGCGGUGAAAUGCAUAGAUAUCACGCAGAACUCCGAUUGCGAAGGCAGCAUACCGGCGCUCAACUGACGCUUAUGCACGAAAGUGUGGGUAUCGAACAGGAUUAGAUACCCUGGUAGUCCACACAGUAAACGAUGAAUACUAAUUGUUCGGGGAGAAUGAUCCCUGAGUGAUACAGCGAAAGCGUUAAGUAUUCCACCUGGGGAGUACGCCGGCAACGGUGAAACUCAAAGGAAUUGACGAGGGCCCGCACAAGCGGAGGAACAUGUGGUUUAAUUCGAUGAUACGCGAGGAACCUUACCCGGGCUCAAACGACACAGGAAUACUUUUGAAAGGAGGUAGCUCUUCGGAGCCUGUGUCGAGGUGCUGCAUGGUUGUCGUCAGCUCGUGCCGUGAGGUGUCGGCUUAAGUGCCAUAACGAGCGCAACCCCCAUCGCCAGUUACCAGCAAGUCAAGUUGGGGACUCUGGCGAGACUGCCGGCGCAAGCUGUGAGGAAGGCGGGGAUGACGUCAAAUCAGCACGGCCCUUACGUCCGGGGCGACACACGUGUUACAAUGGCAGGUACAGAGAGAAGCAAUGCGGCGACGCAAAGCGGAACUUGAAAGCCUGUCUCAGUUCGGAUUGGAGUCUGCAACUCGACCCCAUGAAGCUGGAUUCGCUAGUAAUCGCGCAUCAGCCAUGGCGCGGUGAAUACGUUCCCGGGCCUUGCACACACCGCCCGUCAAG
rnacentral:rRNA from 1 species